AUGAACCGCUACCGUUCAGCGGCAUUAUUGCCUAGUGGAGAUGGAUAUGAUCGGGUGGUUCUGCUGGUGGCACGAUGAUACUCCAGUUAUCCGUCAGUGAUCCAAAUUUGCCAUUAAAAAAAAAUAAAUAAAUAAGAUGGCUAGUAUAUAUAAGAAGACUUUUAAACAAGAACCUCACCCUACAUAGGAACCACUAAUAACCAACCAUUGCUUGACACAUGAGUAAUCCAUUCUCUUAAUUAAAGGGGCGUUUUAUCCAAAUGAGGGCAAGUUGGUAAAUUAAGCUCUCAAUCAAAUCAUCCCUACUUUUUUAUACUUCUCUUUCUCUCUCUCAUGCUAUUUUUUUCAAAGUCAGAUCUAAAAAUCUCUCGUUCAUACCAACUCUCUCUCUCUCUCUGUAUGGAUACAUAUAGAGAGAUAGAGUGAAAAUGACGUGAAAAUAAGAUUUUGAAGGUUUGGGAAUAGAAUGAGCCUAGUGAAUAUCUCUCUCAUGCUAUUUUUAACAGGAAGUGUUAAAACACCAUCCGAAAAAUCUCUCAAGUUUUGCUUUCGAUGGGGUUUUUAGGUGUUAUUUACGGCGGAGCUCCACUUGAUGGGUGUACCGGUGGACGACGGCGAUGACGAUGGGACGACGACGAUAAAGUUGUUGGGUCCGGAUCUGAUUUGGAAGACGAAGAGGGAGACCCGUAGCCGUUGAAGACUCGGAUUCGAAGAAGACCCGGGCUAGACGAGGACCCGGAUAUGAUGAAGACCCAUUUGUAGGUUAACCUCUUUCCUUUUUUUGAAGAACAAUCAAAGAAAAACCCCUUAAAAAUUUGAACUUUUUAUUUGCUCUUUUUCAGUUUUUUUUGACCAAACCAUAGAGAGCAAAACGGAAGUUUACUCCUUGUAAAAUAACCCAAACCACAUAGACUAAAAUGACAUUUAACUCUUAUAAAUAUUAAUGAAACAUUAUUAUGUAACGUUGUGGAUUAUAAAUGCAUUUUUGUGGGCAUUGGUUGUGAUUGGUUUUGGUAAUUUUUAAAACCCCAUUCAGUGAGUUUCUUAAUAUUUAACUCUUAGGCCAUCCGUAGUCAUAAGACCCUUUUAGGGGCGUUAUACGACAUGUGGCAUGUCACGUCAAUAAGGGGCUUUAUGGGGCGUUAUGCAACUUGAGGCCGUAGUCAUAAAGCCCCUUUGUCAUCAUUACUCAAUUAAUUUAAUUUUCAUUUUUUUAAUUAAUUUCUAAGUUUUAUAAAAUUAAAAAUCAUUCCAUUAAAUAAAAAACA
rnacentral:lncRNA from 1 species